rnacentral:lncRNA from 1 species
AUUCUCAAAGGAAAAUCUCCAAUCCAUCGAGAGAUUUCUCAAUUGAAGUCGGCUCUUCUAUUUCCUUCCAGGGUCUUCCCCAUCUCCUUCAAUCGGUAAUAAUUAAACUCUUUUCUUUAUUGUGGUCUCUUGAAAGCCUCAAGCACUCUUGAAAAUUCAUAAUCUGAUAUGGGUUUUUUCUAUGGACUACCGAAUUAUGGAAAAUCGAGAUUUUCUCCCGUUUAUUUAUUUAUUUAAUUGUUAUUUUCAUUUUAUUUUUGGGUUUGAGAGUAGAUCUGACGUAAGAAUGUUGUUUGUUGUAGACUAAAAAUUGGACGAAGCAGACGCAUCAAGAUACUGUGUCCUGUGUGUUUGCAGAUGGCGAAUCUAAAAAUCCUGUGGUGGAUUCAUAGAAGAAAUGGCAUUUGCCGAUGCCCCAGGAAAUGAUGAUUUUGGACAUGGAGGGUCUGAUUCUGACCAUACCCUCUCCCUCUGGGGCUCCAAUCCUGCUUGGUAUGAUAAGUAAUCCUCGUCAAUGCCAUCGCAGUAGAUUCAUUUCAGACGCAUGGAGUUUUAGGAUGAUGACUAUGAAGAUGGCAACGAUAAUAAUAACGGUCAACUUGAGGGGAUAUGGAGCUGGAUCCUGAAUUAGAUUCCCUAACAAGGAGGAGAAGCUCAGCUGCUGUUAUCCAGCUCCUCGAUGGCAUUUUAAAUAGAAUGGUAUCCGAGUUGGGAAAUUCUGAGAGGGAUCAAAGAGACACAUAUAGAAAUGAUAUUAGGGAUGGAUAGGGUGUGAUUUUGAUUAAUCCAUUUAACCAAACUAUUGUUGUUCGAGGUUAUCAUGAUUCCAAUAACGAUUCUGUGAAUCGUGCACCUAUUGGCUUCUAGGUGAUUAUUACAUAGGUCCUGGUUUAGAAUUAUUGCUACAGCAUUUGGCAGAGAAUGAUGAUAUUUACUCGAGUUUAACUUUUUCAGCUAAUGUAGCCUUCUACCUUGUUUUUUGGGAAUAUAGAGCAAAAGAAGUUGAGUCAAACCUUGUUUAGAGAUUCUUCGAGAGUUAUACAUUCAAUUUUUGUUUGCUACUGGACAUUAUUUCACAGACAUGGAAAAUAUAAUUUAUUACUUUACAUUUUCAAUUAUAUGAGUUGUGG